rnacentral:misc_RNA from 1 species
AUUCUCUGGCCUCCAGUUGUCUCAUGAAAUGGGGUCCUCCCAAUUACCCCACCAAGGUCAACCCCAACAAUUGCACCCAGCACAGCGGCCCUCACUAGUUGACACAGUCAGUGCUGCGACCGCGGCCAUCACCGCGGAUCCUAACUUCACUGCAGCACUGGCAGCCGCCAUCUCCUCCAUUAUCGGUAGUGCUAACGGCAACACCACCACCACCAACAAUAAUAGCAAAUAGCAAUAAGCAACAGAAACUACAGAAGGGUUUCAAUUUUUAUCCUUUUUGUUGCAGUUCCUUGAUGUCGGUUCCUUAAUUUGUUUUUUGGGAUAAGAAAUUAAGAAUGAGA